rnacentral:lncRNA from 1 species
ACAAAGUAGAGCUAAUAACAGAAAUUAUUUAUACAAAAAAUUGAAUGCUUGUGCAGUCCCUUGGUCAAAUUGAUACCACUACACAAAUAAUUAAAUAAAUAAAAAACAAGGCAACAUCUCAGGAAGUUUCAAUCUAGAGCAUGAGUACGUCUAAUCAGGAGUCAAAGAUAAGCAUAAAUUACUUUGGAAAUGAAACAAACGAACCGCAGCUGCACAUUUUACCAGUACCUACAAUCCAGUAAAAAGCUACUGUUUGGCAUUCAUUACAUAAAUAGUUGAACACAAAACUUACCAAAUUACACUAGAUUUAUGACCAAAUAACUUGACCAAGUCCACUGCCACAGAACCUCCUUUACUAUUAAUAGAUCAUUAACUAGACAACAAUGAAAUAGAGGAUUAGGGACAUACAUGUACUCACUUGAAAUUAUAUAAAAAUGUAUUUAUCAGUAUCACAUCAACUGAACUAGGAAAAACUAUAUUGAAAACCUGAUAGGAGUAUAGUCACCCCCUUGACGACCCUUCGUGCUUAAUCUGCUUUCUCUUGCUGAAACCACACUUUGAAUAGCCAUCUAAAUGAGAAAAAAGUUAACAUUAGGCCACCUGAAUUAUAUAUUACUUAUGAGUAUAAUAUAUCAAUUAAUCAAUAGAAAGAAAACCAUGCAUUUAUCCCCAAUUCAAAUUUAAAUAACUUAGAAACAAAGCUUAAGCAAUUGAGCCCUAGCAAAGCAAUGACAUGAAACCUAGUUGGCAGUAGUAAUUGAACUUACCAGUGCUUGCAGCUUCACUAAUCCUCUAAGAGCACUCAGUCCCUUUAUUGCCUGUAACAGAAAAAUUGAAAUAUUUCACAUAAUCAGAUUGUUUAAAUCAAAGAAUAUCAAUAGAAAAUACUUUUAAGUA